CCGUAGGUGAACCUGCGGAAGGAUCAUUGUCAA
rnacentral:rRNA from 1 species